GAUGGUUUGUUGUUAGUGCAUAGAAAUGCAACAGGUGUCUGUCUAUUGAUUUUUGUCUCUGGCAGCUUUACCAAAUUCAUUGAGCUAUAGUAGUUUUUGUUGUCAUCUUGAGAAUUUUCUUUGGUGUGCUGUGCAACUUGCAGGAUCUUUGUUCCCUGACCAGGAAUCCAACCCAGGGGCACCAAAUCCUCACCACUAGACCGCUAGGGAAUUCCCAGGAUUUUCUAUGUAUAGGAUGUUAUCUGUAAGCAGUGACAAUUUACUUUUUUGCAAUUUUGAUUCUAUUUUUUUUUCCUCCCUGAUUGCCAUGACUAGGACUUCCGAUAAUAUCUUGAAUGAAAGUGGCAGGAGUGGGCAUCACUGUGUUGUUCCUAGUGUUAGAGAAGAUGCUUUCACCUUUUCACCAUUGAGUAUGAUGUUAGCUGUGGGCUUGUCAUUUAUGGCCGUUAUUGUUUUGAGGUAUGUUCCCUCUAUACCACUUUGUUGACUUUCUAUCAUAAAUGAAUGUUGAAUUUUGUCAUAUUUUUCUACAUCUGUUGAGAUGAUCGUAUGAUUUUUGUUCUUCAGUUUGUUAAUGUGUAUCCCUUUGAUUAAUUUGCAGAUAUUAGUCCACCCCUGGGAUAAAUGAUGUUUGAUCUUGGUGUAUGAUCCUUUUAAUGAUUUGCUGAAUUCUGUUGCUAAUGUAUUGUCAAGAAUUUUUGCAUGUGUGUUCAUCAGUGAUAUUGACCUGUAAAUUUCUUUUUUAGUAUUAUCUUUGGUUUUGGUAGCAGGAUGAUACUGGUCUUGUAGAAUGAGUUUGGAAAUGUUACUUCCUCUACAGUUUUUUGAAAUAGUUUGAGAAGGAUUCGUGUUAACUCCUCUGGAUGAAAGAAUUCACCUGUGAAGCAGUCUGGUCCUGAACUCUUGUUUUCUGAAAGUUGUUUUAUUACUGAUUCAGUGUUAUUCCUGGUAAUUGGUUUGUUCACAUUUUUAUUUGUUCUUAGUUCAGUCUGAGGAGAUUGUACAUUUCUAGGAAUUUAUCGUUUCUUUGAGGU
ensembl:lncRNA